GACGAACGCUGGCGGCGCGCUUAACACAUGCAAGUCGAGCGAAGCGGCGGACGGGUGAGUAACACGUUAGUAACCUGCCUUAGACAUUGGGAUAGCCUCGGGAAACCGGGAUUAAUAACACAUGGUCUAAGAUGGACUCGCGUCCCAUUAGCUAGUUGGUGGGUAACGGCCCACCAAGGCGACGAAGGGUAGCCGGCCUGGGAGGGUGAACGGCACCAUUGGAACUGAGAAACGGUCCAAACUCUACGGGAGGCAGCAGUGCGGAAGAUUGCACAAUGGGGGGAACAUGAAGGCAGCGACGCCGCGUGAACGAAGAAGGCGUUCGAGUCGUAAAUUCUUUUAUAUGGGAAGCGGUACCAUAAGAAAAAGCCCCGGCUAACUACGUGCCAGCAGCCGCGGUAAUUC
rnacentral:rRNA from 1 species